UGGAUUGGAAGGUGUCAACACAGGGAUGCUAGGAGAAGGUGUUGGUUUUGGUGGAUUUGAAGGUGUCAACAAAGGAAUGCUAGGAGAUGGUUUUGGUUUUGGUGGAUUUGAAGGUUUCAACACAGGAACGCUAGGAGAAGGUGUUGGUUUUGGUGGAUUGGAAGGUGUCAACACAGGAACGCUAGGAGAAGGUGUUGGUUUUGGUGGAUUGGAAGGUGUCAACACAGGAACGCUAGGAGAAGGUGUUGGUUUUGGUGGAUUGGAAG
rnacentral:lncRNA from 1 species